rnacentral:rRNA from 1 species
AUUGAACGCUGGCGGCAUGCCUUACACAUGCAAGUCGAACGGUAACAGGUUAAGCUGACGAGUGGCGAACGGGUGAGUAAUAUAUCGGAACGUGCCCAAUCGUGGGGGAUAACGCAGCGAAAGUUGUGCUAAUACCGCAUAAGAUCUACGGAUGAAAGCGGGGGAUCGCAAGACCUCGCGCGAGUGGAGCGGCCGAUAUCAGAUUAGCUAGUUGGUGGGGUAAAGGCCCACCAAGGCGACGAUCUGUAGCUGGUCUGAGAGGACGACCAGCCACACUGGAACUGAGACAACGGUCCAGACUCCUACGGGAGGCAGCAGUGGGGAAUUUUGGACAAUGGCGCAAGCCUGAUCCAGCAAUGCCGCGUGCAGGAUGAAGGCCUUCGGGUUGUAAACUGACUUUUGUACGGAGCGAACGGUACUGCCCUAAUACGUAGGCUAAUGACGGUACCGUAAGAAUAAGCACCGGCUAACUACGUGCCAGCCGCCGCGGUAAACCAGAACG